rnacentral:rRNA from 1 species
UAGCAAUAUUAAUAAGGCUAGACCGGCGCACGGGUGCGUAACACGUAUGCAACCUACCUUAUACUGGGGAAUAACUUCGGGAAAUCGGCGCUAAUACCCCAUAACAUUGCGAAAUGGCAUCAUUUUGCAAUUAAAGCUCCGGCGGUAUAAGAUGGGCAUGCGUCCAAUUAGCUAGUUGGUGAGGUAACUGCUCACCAAGGCUACGAUUGGUAGGGGUUCUGAGAGGAUGAUCCCCCACACUGGUACUGAGACACGGACCAGACUCCUACGGGAGGCAGCAGUGAGGAAUAUUGCGCAAUGGACGAAAGUCUGACGCAGCCAUGCCGCGUGCAGGAUGACGGCCCUAUGGGUUGUGAACUGCUUUUGUAUGGGAAUAAACCCUUCUACGUGUAGAAGGCUGAAGGUACCAUAAGAAUAAGCACCGGCUAACUCCGUGCCAGCAGCCGCGGUAAUACGGAGGGUGCAAGCGUUAUCCGGAUUUAUUGGGUUUAAAGGGUCCGU